rnacentral:rRNA from 1 species
GCUGGCGGCAGGCCUAACACAUGCAAGUCGAGCGCACCUUCGGGUGAGCGGCGGACGGGUUAGUAACGCGUGGGAACGUACCCUUUUCUACGGAAUAGCCUUUGGAAACGAAGAGUAAUACCGUAUACGCCCUUUGGGGGAAAGAUUUAUCGGAGAAGGAUCGGCCCGCGUUAGAUUAGAUAGUUGGUGGGGUAACGGCCUACCAAGUCUACGAUCUAUAGCUGGUUUUAGAGGAUGAUCAGCAACACUGGGACUGAGACACGGCCCAGACUCCUACGGGAGGCAGCAGUGGGGAAUCUUAGACAAUGGGCGCAAGCCUGAUCUAGCCAUGCCGCGUGAGUGAUGAAGGCCUUAGGGUCGUAAAGCUCUUUCGCCUGUGAUGAUAAUGACAGUAGCAGGUAAAGAAACCCCGGCUAACUCCGUGCCAGCAGCCGCGGUAAUACGGAGGGGGUUAGCGUUGUUCGGAAUUACUGGGCGUAAAGCGCACGUAGGCGGAUUGGAAAGUUGGUGGUGAAAUCCCGGGGCUCAACCCCGGAACUGCCUCCAAAACUAUCAGUCUAGAGUUCGAGAGAGGUGAGUGGAAUUCCAAGUGUAGAGGUGAAAUUCGUAGAUAUUUGGAGGAACACCAGUGGCGAAGGCGGCUCACUGGCUCGAUACUGACGCUGA